GACGAACGCUGGCGGCGUGCUUAACACAUGCAAGUCGAACGGAAAGGCCCUGCUCUUGUGGGGUGCUCGAGUGGCGAAGGGGUGAGUAACGCGAGAGUAACGUGCCCUUGACUUUGGGAUAAGUUCAGGAAACUGGGGCUAAGACAAGACAGGAUCUUCUGCUGCAGGGUGGGGGUUGGAAAGUUUCGGCUGUUGGGGAUGGACUCGCGGCUUAUGAGCUUGUUGGUGGGGUAGUGGCUUCCCAAGGCUUUGGCGGGUAGCCGGCCUGAGAGGGUGACCGGCCACGUUGGGACUGAGAUAGGGCGCAGACUGCUACGGGAGGCAGCAGUGGGGAAUAUUGUACAGUGGGCGGACGCCUGAUGCAGCGGCGCCGCGUGCGGGAUGACGGCCUUCGGGUUGUAAACCGCUUUCGCCUGUGACGAAGCGUGAGUGACGGUAAUGGGUAAAGAAGCACCGGCUAACUACGUG
rnacentral:rRNA from 1 species